rnacentral:ncRNA from 1 species
CGUGGUGUCCUGAAGUUGUUCUUUGAGAAGAUCAUUCGUGACGCCGUCACCUAUACCGAGCACGCCAAGCGAAAGACUGUCAUCGUUUCUUUGCUUACUCAGUAAAACGGGAACAAUAUUUUGGUCCUAAACACAUGCCAGUAUGCCCGGUUUCGCUGCUGACGUCGGCAAUUUUGUCACACCAGAUCAGCCGUGACUUUGGUCGCUGCGUUUGAGUUUGGAUGUGAUGUGCGACCCGUUCUGAAUACUACGUCUGGCGGGGAGUUUAACUGGAGCGGUACAUCUGUUAAAUGGUAACGCCGGUGUCCAAAGAUGAGUUCAGCCUGGACAGAAACGUGGCGUGGAGUAGAAGGGCCAAAAGUUUACUUGAUUUUGAUUUUCACUAAGAAUACAGGCCUAUCGAUCCGUUUGAUUUUGAUAUUCGGAGUUUGAGGCAAGAGGUGUCGGAAAAAUUAUCACCGGGAUAACUGGCUUGUGGCGGCCGAACGUUCAUAGCGAAUUCGCAUUUGAUCCUCUGAUGUCGGCUCUCCCUAGCAUGUGACGCAGAAUUCACCAAGCUUUGGAUUGUUCACCCACUAAUAGGGAAUGUGGACUGGGUUUAGACAGUCGUGAGGCAGGUUAGUU